rnacentral:misc_RNA from 1 species
GAUGAAGAACGCAGCGAAAUGCGAUAAGUAAUGUGAAUUGCAGAACUCAGUGAAUCAUCGAAUCUUUGAACGCACAUUGCGCCCGCCAGUAUUCUGGCGGGCAUGCCUGUUCGAGCGUCAUUUCAACCAUCAAGCCCCAGGCUUGUGUUGGGGACCUGCGGCUGCCGCAGGCCCUGAAAACCAGUGGCGGGCUCGCUGUCACACCGGGCGUAGUAGAUUUUAUCUCGCUCAGGGCGUGCUGCGGGUUCCGGCCGUUAAAAAGCCUUUUUUACCCAAGGUUGACCUCGGAUCAGGUAGGAAGACCCGCUGAACUUAAGCAUAUCAAUAAGCGGAGGA